GGCGGGGCCUACGGGAGGCAGCAGUAAGGAAUAUUGGACAAUGGGCGCAAGCCUGAUCCAGCUAUCCCGCGUGCGGGAAGACGGCCCUAUGGGUUGUAAACUGCUUUUAUCAGGGAAGAAACCCUCGGAUUUAUCCGGGGCUGACGGUACCUGAAGAAUAAGCACCGGCUAACUCCGUG
rnacentral:rRNA from 1 species